AGCGAACGCUGGCGGCAGGCCUAACACAUGCAAGUCGAACGAACCUUUCGGGGAUAGUGGCGGACGGGUGAGUAACACGUGGGAACGUGCCUUUAGGUUCGGAAUAACUCAGGGAAACUUGUGCUAAUACCGAAUGUGCCCUUCGGGGGAAAGAUUAAUCGCCUUUAGAGCGGCCCGCGUCUGAUUAGCUAGUUGGUUGAGGUAAUGGCUCACCAAGGCGACGAUCAGUAGCUGGUCUGAGAGGAUGAUCAGCCACAUUGGGACUGAGACACGGCCCAAACUCCUACGGGAGGCAGCAGUGGGGAAUCUUGCGCAAUGGGCGAAAGCCUGACGCAGCCAUGCCGCGUGAAUGAUGAAGGUCUUAGGAUUGUAAAAUUCUUUCACCGGGGACGAUAAUGACGUUACCCGGAGAAGAAGCCCCGGCUAACUUCGUG
rnacentral:rRNA from 1 species